rnacentral:lncRNA from 1 species
UGAGUGUGAGUUCAGAAAAGACUCGAGUGUUUUCCCGUUGUGUUAAUAAAAGAGAAGGUAUUUAUAGUGUGAGAAACAAGCAGAAAUAAGGUAAAGACUGUAAUUCAGACAUAAUUAGGGGAUUAUUUGUCCAUUAAAAUCAAAUUAGUAUGAAACACUUCCUUUAAUUAAGGAAUUAAAUCAACACGGUAGCAUGCAAAUGUUAAAUAAGGAAAGAAAUCAUGUAGGGGAUGAACAUGUCAAAUAAGGAAAAUAUUUUCAACACAGUAUGAGUACGCAAUAGAUAAUAGAGGCUAGGUUCAUUAGACCAUAUUUAAGGAAAGGUCUGUAAGAAUCUCAUACCAAUGUAAUCAAGGUAAGGGGAUCAAAUCAACUUAAAUAGAAAGGUAGGGGUCGGAAGUUCAAAGAAAAGUAUUCCAACAAGUCAAAGACACAAGGAAAUCAAUGCAACAAGGAAAGAACCAAUUACAAGAGUGCUAUCAGAAUCACACGAAGAGAUUCAAAAUUAGUCCAAAAUCAAGGGUUAUUUUGAAAAGGGAUUCUAGCAUAUAAAGGAGUGCACAACAUUAUACAUGCGAGGCUGAACUCAUGGCAAGGAGAAUAAUCACAUGACAGUCACAUAGAUUGAAUUUAGUGAUAGAGAGAGGGGAAAUUAUCAGAAGCUUGCAGAAAGGUCAAGUAGAAAGCCUUUUCUGAAAAUUGUAAUCCAAUUCUAAUAAGAGCAGGAGAUCAAAAAAUCAAAAAAAGCAUAAGAGCUAAAGCAGAGAUUUAAAAACUUAGUCGAGUAAUAGGUGAAGCAACUUCAGAAACCCAAAUAGGUCCAAAGAGACUAGAGGUUUGAAACCAAACAAGUUCAGAGAUGAGAAACAAACAAAUUAUGUAACAAAUAGCCUCAAAAACUCGGAUGAACCCCAAAUUAUAGGGCUUUUACUAUUAAUCAAGUGUAAAGAUGAAAGCAAGUAAAUCAGGAAGAAAUAACAAUGAAAUAACUGCAGAAAUCUUAAAGGAACUGUAACCUUCAACAUAUACUUCCCAGGAGAGGAACCUCGUGAAAAAAUAUAAUAAAAGAACAAACAUGCAAAAUACAGUAGAAGAACUCAUAAGAACAAGGUAGAAGAAACACAUAAGAAGAAACAUAUAAGGAUAAUAGUAGAGCAUGUAAAAAAACAAGAGAAACCCUAAAUCGGAGAAGAUGAAGGGUUUGAAAGCAAAGUAUUUGAAAGAACUUUGAGAAAAACGUUUGAAACCUUAAGAUAAACACAGAUCUAGAGAAAUUAGAAUAACCUUGAAGAUUUAGAGUUUUAAAAGAGCCCCAAAUAGCGAGAAAGGCUUGGAAAGUCAUGAUCUAAGCAAGAGAUGUCAAGGUCAAGCCUGAACAACCAUGUUUAGCCGGAGCAAGGUCGGAGAGAAGCCAAAGUACUCAAAUCAAACAAGGUCUGGGCCAAGCCUCUCCAAAGUCUGGUCUGGAAACAAUGUUAAUCGAGCACGUAGGAGUCGCAGGUACAUGCCUUUAAUGGCUUUGGAAGCCAUGGAUUCAGGCGAUUUUAGG